UCUUUCAUUGUAUAGGCAAAGAUAUGGUAUUAUUACAUGCUGAAAGGCUUGCAUUCUCCUAUCAAAAUGCAUGCAAAGGGAAUUUCAAGCCUCUCAAGGCUCAUGAAAAUUCUCGUCCCUUGGGAGAAGCCAAGAACGCUGUGAGGUACUCUGAGGGAGGGUAUUGGAAGAACACUUCCAAGAAGCACAAGUUAUGGCAAAGAACGUGGCUCCAGAAGGAAUAAGAAAGGGAUGAAGAGUGAGGAGGUUAUGCCAACGUCAAGAGAGUGGCCUGCCAGGAAGCAUGGCACAGCAGUGUAGUAAGGUCAGCUUUGGUGGGCCUCUGCCUCAAAUCUGGCACCAAUUUAUCUUUGUGCACAGCCUCUAACAGUGCCAAGAGCAAAUCUGACCCAUGAGCUGGCUAUCAGACAACAGCCUGGGCAUCCACAGCAAUGAGAGGAAAGCUAAGCCCCACUCUUCAGGCAAAGGAGUUAUUUCAGGACUUAGAAGCAGACAUGCCACUUGGGUUGAAAUAGCUUUCUUAUCAAGAUGUUGAGCAGCACAAGGUAUCAAUGUAUUCUGCUCUUCUGUGAGGAUCCUGUGGGAUAGCUUUGGAGAAAGCAAGGAGUGUGGAAAGGAUCUGAAGCACAACUCACUGAAAGAGUUUUGGAUCAGGCCAGUGGACAAAGGGAUUUUUCAGUAGCUAGGAUAUGCGGCUGAAACUUCAGUUUCUAAAAACAAGCCACGACAACUGUAAGCCAACAGCUGUCUUCUUGGUACCUGCUCACUGAGAUGGAUUUGUUUUGAAAUUUCCUGUGUAUUUCAAAGCUUUUUUUUUUUUUUU
ensembl:lncRNA